UGUGCAUAAGAAAAUGGAUGCCUUACUCCUGUUACAGAGGUAAAGCAUGGCGUAGUAAACUAUACAGAGGAUAUAACAUCACUGAAGUAGUUCACCUACAUCUUUGUGGUCUUUUCCAUGACUACUGCUACAACACUAAAAAGGAAUUUAACUGGUGGAGGCCAGUGACGAGCGGUGUCCUUCAGGGGUCUGUCCUGGAACCAGUACUGUUCAACAACAUAGACAGCAAGAUGGAGGGCACCCUCUGCAAGUUUGCACGUAACACCAAGCUGAAUGGUGCAGUCAGUACAACAGAAGGAGGAGAUACCAUUCAAAGGGACCUGGACAGUCUUCAGAAGUGGGCCCAUGUGAACCGCAUGAAGUUCAACAAGUCCAAGUGCAAGGACCCUGGCACAUGAGAUGAUCAUGCUCUUGAACUUCAGAAUUUGGGAAGUCCUGCACCGGAUCCUACUGCCUUCUUCAGCAGCAGUUUGCCAACCAGUACCCUACCCCCAUACUAACUAGACACUAGACCUGUUUUACAAGAGGUAUUUUAACAUUUUACUUUCAAACUGCCUUAUUGAGGAUGCAUGUUGACUCACCAUUUUUUAUUAUUAAUCUAUGUAUUUUUCUUGCUGCUAGAAGGGAUUAUUUGCAGAUGUUAACAUUUAUUUUUUUUCUUGGGUUUAGUAUUCACGUUUUGAACCUGAAGUUCCAUGGCUAAUUCCAUGAACAUGAUUGCCACAACAUACACUCCAGUUUUAGCUGAUUAUUUUCUUUUAAUAUUGUCAUUAAUAGAGCAUCUCCAUUUUAUAGAAGUGAAGUGUCUCCCUUAGACCCUUCAUAACCUGAGCUGUAUCCCAUCAGAGAGCACUUCUCCAUCCUCUUAUGCUUCUAGAAAAAUGCCAUCCGUGUUAUAAAUAUCAAUAGAGCUGGAAGUAAGCAACAUCAAAAUCUCCAAGACAACACAAAGAUACAACAAAUUAAAGGCAAAAUAGUAAUGGUUCGAUUAGACUUUUAAAUAGGAUAUUAAAAUGAGGUUUGUAGUUAAGUACAAUUGUCUCUCUGAAUUUGGCAGGGAAAUCAUUAACCAAAUGAUGUUAAAUUUGCACAGAUUGUUGAAUAAAUGAGUAAGACUUGCUCUUCAUGGCAGCAAACCAACCAAAAAACAUACACAC